GACGAACCGUGCGAACGUUAUUCGGAAUCACUGGGCUUAAAGCGCGUGUAGGCGGGACGGCACGUCGGUCGCUGAAAAGCCCCCGGCUCAACCGGGGAACGGGCGCCGAUACGACCGCCCUGGAGGGACGUAGGGGGACCUGGAACUUCCGGUGGAGCGGUGAAAUGCGUUGAGAUCGGAAGGAACGCCCGUGGCGAAAGCGAGGUCCUGGACGUUUUCUGACGCUGAGACGCGAAAGCCAGGGGAGCGAACGGG
rnacentral:rRNA from 1 species